CCAUCAAGCAGGCUCCGCACCAUGUCCAGGAAAGCUGGGUAAUAAUCUUCCACGUCAACGUCCACUGCAGGAAAGACGGGACAGAUGAAGUUUCACCAUGAUAUGAGCAAAGUACUCCACAGCAUACCCUUGGGAUAUCAGUAAGAAUUCUUUGAAAAGAGGUCAUCUUCCUUUGCUAUCAAAAACAAAUCUGUUUCUCCGCUGCAAAACUCUCAGAAUGCUAUGCUGAUGGUAAUGCAAAGUCUAAGAGUGGAGAAUGGGUACAAGAUCGCUGCUUUGGACAAUCUGUGAAGCUCUGAUCAGAACCACUGAUGCUUCAGGAGAGAAGAAAAACCAAAAGCAGCAGCACAAGUAAAUUCACCAGGUGAAUUGCUGCUGUGACAGGAAGAAGCAGCAGCGCUGAUCUGUGUUAGGGCAUGUGUGUGUGUGUGUGUGUGUGUGUGUGUGCGCGCGCGUGUGUGAGUGUUACUGUACAGCAAGAGUACCACAAAUGGAAGAUACCAGGGCCCAGCCUCAUCUCCCACACAUGAGAGAAUUCCAAACAGAAGGUCUAGAACCUCCAGCCUUUGUGAAGCACACUGAGUGCAGCAGGCACACUGCUUGCUGGGUACCUCUUGA